rnacentral:rRNA from 1 species
AGCGAACGUUAGCGGCGGGCCUAACACAUGCAAGUCGAACGAGAAAAACCUUCGGGUGAGUAAAGUGGCGCACGGGUGAGGAACGCGUAGGUAAUCUACCCUCUGGCGGGGGACAACACUCCGAAAGGAAUGCUAAUACCGCGUAAGACCCCACUACUACGGUAGGAGAGGUUAAAGGUGCCCUUAAAGCACCACCAGAGGAUGAGCCUGCGUCCCAUCAGCUUGUUGGUGAGGUAAAAGCUUACCAAGGCGAAGACGGGUAGCUGGUCUGAGAGGAUGAUCAGCCACACUGGUACUGGAACACGGACCAGACUCCGUACGGGAGGCAGCAGUGAGGAAUAGUUGGGCAAGUGGGACGAAAGCCUCGACCCAGCCACGCCGCGUGUGUGAUGAACGGCCGUUCGGGUACGUAAAGCACUGUGGGAGGGACGAACCUACGCAGGAGGAAAUGCCUGCGUACUGACGGUACCUCCUUAGCAAGCACCGGCUAACUCUGUG